GACAGCCAGGAUGUUGGCUUAGAAGCAGCCAUCAUUUAAAGAAAGCGUAAUAGCUCACUGGUCGAGUCGGCCUGCGCGGAAGAUGUAACGGGGCUAAACCAUGCACCGAAGCUGCGGCAGCGACACUGUGUGUUGUUGGGUAGGGGAGCGUUCUGUAAGCCUGCGAAGGUGGCCUGUGAGGGUUGCUGGAGGUAUCAGAAGUGCGAAUGCUGACAUAAGUAACGAUAAAGCGGGUGAAAAGCCCGCUCGCCGGAA
rnacentral:rRNA from 1 species